UUUUUAAUGUUAGGAAAGAGGGAAAGAAUGCAAGUAACCGAAAAUAUCAACGAAAGAAGCGUGGAGAAAGCAGUCUCACGUCGUAUGUGUCCAAUAAAAAAGAACAAGGCCUACUCCCACUAUUUCCUAUUCAAGAGUACAACUCGGAUUCUGACUGGGAGGAUGACGUCCCACUUCAAUUUAGGAAGGACAGAAAGAAGAUUGAUGACGAAGAGAGAAAAAAUUAUGCAAAAGACAACGCACAAUACAAUGCUAGUUUCUUUUGUGCAUAUGUUCCUGAGAAACUGGAUAUUGGACCAGAGGCGACAUACGCAAAAAGAAACAAAGAAUUGAAGAGGUUGAAGAAGAAAAUUAGUGAGAAAGAGAAAGUUAAAUAUACUUUCUCUGUGUAUUUUGGAACAGCGACGGCAAAACGAGGGAAACGCACGUGCGGUUAUCUCGACGGCUCCUCACCUGGCACAUCCCAGCUCGUCAAAUUGAUGAAAGAUGGACAAAUUUGUUGGCGUAAGGAUUUCACUUUCUCCGGAAAAACUGCAGAAAAUAACAGGGAUGAUGCUAUGGAUUGGCAGCACUUUUAUAAGCAUGUCAAUCUAGAGAAACAGUUCGUGCCACUAGAUGAGGAGAAAGUCGUCUUUGACAUUCUAAAUGCAGGACUGCAAAGAAAGAAUUCCUACAAGCGGAUAUUGAGUGAUGCAGCGAAAGAGAAAGCAAAACGG